rnacentral:rRNA from 1 species
UGAUUCUUAGGCAAAUCCGGGAAUCUCUAUGCUGAGCACCGAGACGAGUCCUAUGAGGACGAAGUGACUGACACCACGCUUCCAGGAAAAGCCACUAAGCUUCAGCUGUAGAAAAACCGUACCGCAAACCGACACGGGUAGGCAGGGUGAGAAUCCCAAGGCGCUUGAGAGAACUCGGGUGAAGGAACUAGGCAAAAUGGCACCGUAACUUCGGGAGAAGGUGCGCCUCUUGGUGUGGUCACGUGCGUGACUGAGCAUCGAGGGGUCGCAGUAACCUGGCCGCUGCGACUGUUUAUCAAAAACACAGCACUCUGCAACACGAAAGUGGACGUAUAGGGUGUGACGCCUGCCCGGUGCUGGAAGGUUAAUUGAUGGGGUCAGCCGCAAGGCGAAGCUCUUGAUCGAAGCCCCAGUAAACGGCGGCCGUAACAAUAACGGUCCUAAGGUAGCGAAAUUCCUUGUCGGGUAAGUUCCGACCUGCACGAAUGGCGUAACGACAGCGGCGCUGUCUCCACCCGAGACUCAGUGAAAUUGAAAUCGCUGUGAAGAUGCAGCGUUCCCGCGGCAAGACGGAAAGACCCCGUGAACCUUUACUAUAGCUUUACACUGAACGUUGAGUUCUUCUGUGUAGGAUAGGUGGGAGGCUAUGAAACCAGGACGCUAGUUCUGGUGGAGCCAUCCUUGAAAUACCACCCUGAAGUGCUUGACGUUCUAACCUAGGUCCGUAAUCCGGAUCGGGGACCGUGUAUGGUGGGUAGUUUGACUGGGGCGGUCUCCUCCCAAAGAGUAACGGAGGAGCACGAAGGUACGCUCAGCGCGGUCGGACAUCGCGCACUGUGUGCAAAGGCAUAAGCGUGCUUGACUGCGAGAUCGACGGAUCAAGCAGGUACGAAAGUAGGUCUUAGUGAUCCGGUGGUUCUGUAUGGAAGGGCCAUCGCUCAACGGAUAAAAGGUACUCCGGGGAUAACAGGCUGAUACCGCCCAAGAGUUCAUAUCGACGGCGGUGUUUGGCACCUCGAUGUCGGCUCAUCACAUCCUGGGGCUGUAGCCGGUCCCAAGGGUAUGGCUGUUCGCCAUUUAAAGUGGUACGCGAGCUGGGUUCAGAACGUCGUGAGACAGUUCGGUCCCUAUCUGUCGUGGGCGUUGGAGAUUUGAGGGGGGCUGCUCCUAGUACGAGAGGACCGGAGUGGACGUUCCGCUGGUGUUCGGGUUGUCAUGCCCAUGGCAUUGCCCGGUAGCUACGAACGGAAUUGAUAACCGCUGAAAGCAUCUAAGCGGGAAGCACGCCCCAAGAUGAGAUCUCCCGAGAGCUUGACUCUCCUAAAGGCACCAUCAAGACUAGGUGGUUGAUAGGCACGGUGUGGAAGUGCAGCAAUGCAUUGAGCUUACGUGUACUAAUGAGCCGUGAGGCUUGACCG